UUGUUGGUGGGGUAAUGGCCUACCAAGACGAUGAUGUGUAGCUGGACUGAGAGGUCGAACAGCCACAUUGGGACUGAGACACGGCCCAAACUCCUACGGGAGGCAGCAGUAGGGAAUUUUCGGCAAUGGAGGAAACUCUGACCGAGCAACGCCGCGUGAACGAUGAAGUAUUUCGGUAUGUAAAGUUCUUUUAUUGAAGAAGAAAAAAUAGUGGAAAAACUAUCUUGACGUUAUUCAAUGAAUAAGCCCCGGCUAACUAUGUGCCAGCAGCCGCGGUAAGACAUAGGGGGCGAGCGUUAUCCGGAAUUAUUGGGCGUAAAGGGUGCGUAGGCGGUUAGGAAAGUCUAUAAUUUAAUUUCAGUGCUUAACGCUGUCUUGUUAUAGAAACUACCUUGACUAGAGUUAGAUAGAGGCAAGCGGAAUUCCAUGUGUAGCGGUAAAAUGUGUAAAUAUAUGGAGGAACACCAGAAGCGUAGGCGGCUUGCUGGGUCUUGACUGACGCUGAGGCACGAAAGCGUGGGUAGCAAACAGGAUUAGAUACCCUGGUAGUCCACGCCGUAAACGAUGAGUACUAAGUGUCGGGAUAAAACUCGGUACUGAAGUUAACACAUUAAGUACUCCGCCUGAGUAGUACGUACGCAAGUAUGAAACUUAAAGGAAUUGACGGGACUCCGCACAAGCGGUGGAUCAUGUUGUUUAAUUCGAAGAUACACGAAAAAUCUUACCAGGUCUUGACAUGCUCUGCAAAGCUAUAGAAAUAUAGUGGAGGUUAUCAGGGACACAGGUGGUGCAUGGUUGUCGUCAGUUCGUGUCGUGAGAUGUUAGGUUAAGUCCUAAAACGAGCGCAACCCUUGUCGUUAGUUACCAGCACGUAAUGGUGGGCACUUUAACGAGACUGCCAAUUAAACAUUGGAGGAAGGUGAGGAUUACGUCAAAUCAUCAUGCCCCUUAUGAUCUGGGCUACAAACGUGAUACAAUGGCUGUUACAAAGAGUAGCUGAAGCGCGAGUUUUUAGCC
rnacentral:rRNA from 1 species